rnacentral:rRNA from 1 species
UGCGAGCGUUAUUCGGAAUGACUGGGCGUAAAGCGCGCGUAGGCGGAUCUGGAAGUUGGGGGUGAAAUCCCGGGGCUCAACCCCGGAAUGGCCUUCAAAACUCCUGGUCUUGAGUUCGAGAGAGGUGAGUGGAAUUCCGAGUGUAGAGGUGAAAUUCGUAGAUAUUCGGAGGAACACCAGUGGCGAAGGCGGCUCACUGGCUCGACACUGACGCUGAGGUGCGAAAGCGUGGGGAGCAAACAGG